rnacentral:lncRNA from 1 species
GGGACCUGUUCUCAAAAGUAAGAGGAGUUUGAUGCUGAGAAAGAUGGUCUCUUGGUCCAACAUGUUCUCUUGGGCAGCCACUCAGUCAAGAUGGUGACAUACCCUAACCAGGCCCACAAGAGCCUAUUUGACUCACACUCGGCAUGCAGGCUCAGUUCUGUCAGGAAGCCCACUUAAGGACCUUCAACUUUCCUCUCCUGACUAUCUCCAGGCAGGGGUGUUACUCCAUCACAUGCUGACCUGUUUCCUGCCAGACUCUCACCCUUACCACCAGGACCUAGCCUAUGCAGCUCUUGACCUCUCUCUUCUAGGCACAAAAAUCCUCAUCAGGCCUCGAGGUACAAAGCCUGUGAUUCCAGAACUCAGGAAGGUGAGGCAGAAGGAUGGCAAAUUUGAGGCCAGCCUUACCUAUGAGACUCCGACUUUUUAAAAAUUGGACCAAUGGCCUCUGCCCAUUCCUACACCACCAGCACUGCCCAUCACUUAAGUGCAGAGGCCUUGUGCAAGGCACCUCUAUGCCUUGCUUUCUGAAAUGUUCCCAAUGCUGGAAAGUAAUGAAGCAGAUUCUGCCUGGGGCUUCAUCCUUUUCAUACCCUUUCUUUAUAGAUAGUUGCUAAACCCAGUAAGUUGUGGCUCUGAUAGACUCACAGAGAGGCCCAGUUCUAUAGACCCUUCGAGGGCCACUGCUACUGAAAUAAGCUAUAGCAGGCCAGACCCUGGGACAUGACAGGUGUGGAUCCCUUCUGUAAACCAGUUGAGCCCAGACUGAAAGCUAUACCUGAUUUGCAGAAGGUACAAGGACAGGGCCAGGCAACCUCUGUGAUAACCCAAGGUCUGAUGAGCAUAUAAGAACCUCUCUUGUCCCCAUGCAAUGCAGGGGCUGUCCUCCUCCUGGAAUCUGACCCUCCAAGAUGGUGAUGAGGCUGGAUAUAAGAGAGCAAAAGGAACACAAAACAAGAGCUUUUCACUUGCCUUCCUCCUGGCUCAGAAGUAAUGUCCACCCACCCACCCAUCCACGUUUUCACUCUUCAGCAUUCCUUGUGGAUACUGACCUGAUGUGUGUCCUUGCACUGUGGUUCCCUUGAGGCCAGACUCCAAGCCUUUAUCCCCUGACACUGAUAGCAAAUAAAUGACUGCAUUGCCCCAAAAUAAAAU